rnacentral:rRNA from 1 species
CAGCAGCCGCGGUAAUACGUAGGGUGCGAGCGUUAAUCGGAAUUACUGGGCGUAAAGCGUGCGCAGGCGGUUUUGUAAGACAGGCGUGAAAUCCCCGGGCUCAACCUGGGAAUGGCGCUUGUGACUGCAAAGCUAGAGUGCGGCAGAGGGGGAUGGAAUUCCGCGUGUAGCAGUGAAAUGCGUAGAUAUGCGGAGGAACACCGAUGGCGAAGGCAAUCCCCUGGGCCUGCACUGACGCUCAUGCACGAAAGCGUGGGGAGCAAAUGGGAUUAGAGACCCCAGUAGUCCCUGUCUCUUAUAC